GACGAACGCUGGCGGCGUGCUUAACACAUGCAAGUCGAGCGGUAAGGCCUCUUCGGGGGUACGACGAGCGGCGAACGGGUGAGUAACACGUGGGUGACCUGCCCUCAGCUUCGGGAUAAGCCUGGGAAACUGGGUCGUAAUACCGGAUAGGACUUCGCAUCGCAUGGUGUGGGGUGGAAAGUUCCUGGGCUCUUUGGAGUUUGGGUUCGGUUGGGGAUGGGCCCGCGGCCUAUCAGCUUGUUGGUGGGGUGGAUGGCCUACCAAGGCGACGACGGGUAGCCGGCCUGAGAGGGCGACCGGCCACACUGGGACUGAGACACGGCCCAGACUCCUACGGGAGGCAGCAGUGGGGAAUAUUGCGCAAUGGGCGGAAGCCUGACGCAGCGACGCCGCGUGGGGA
rnacentral:rRNA from 1 species